AGGGGUAGCUGCAGCCUGGAGCAAUGGGAGCGCCGAAAGGUAGGGGCGUGGCAAAAGGUUUCUCAUUGGUGAAAGGAGUUUUACUGUGCUGGCAAAUCAGCAGUAAAUAUACAUUUACGUCAUUUCCUUAGACAAGGUGGCAGCGAUAAGACGUGAGGUAAUUAUUCAUCGUUUAUACGUUUAUCUAUACUUUAUAUACCACAAAUAUGUAUAUUAAGAUAAGUUUGUUACAAUACGAUCAUAAUUUUUCCUUUGCGUUAUAUCUUGCAGCUUUAGUAAUUAGUUUAUUGUUGUUGACAGACAUAUGUACAGUGAGACAAAACGAUGACCGCAUCGACGGCGAAUCCUUCAGAGAUGAUAGUUUAUAUCUGCGUCCUUUUUGUACAAUAGAGUACAGAAUACAUCCUGUCUCCAACUAAUGCAGAGUAUAUUCAAGCUGUCAACACACUGGUGGUGAAGAACCCUUUUCAGAGAAAUAUAGAAAGAAAUGACUGUGUAACUUGUGUUGGGGAGGAUUCAGUGUCUGUUGAGGCACAUGUGAAUGUGUUAUAAAGUGAGUAUCAAAAAACACAUCCAGACCCCUCGACGGUCAAAGACCACACGACAGGAACAUGCUCCUGGAGACGCUGAGAAAGCACGGAAGGAAUGUCUGUGGAGGAUGUACUCAAAAAAUACACAUACUUCAGGACACCUGCUGGAGGGGACCCGGCUACACCUUUCCUACCAUACACCUGAUGGAUACUGACUGUAAAAUGGCAAUCAUAGUUCGAGGGCUCAGUGUGGUGACAGAAGAUGGAACAGAUGUGUGUCAGUGCAUCAGCCUUGAUGAAGCCUUCAUAACAGCCUUCUGUGUGUAUUCUGCUUUCAACAUUACAUAUCCACCACACCUGAGAAAGACACUGACUUUCCUUCAGAGGCACAUUGUCAACAUUAGAAGAUGGAGUCAAGCACUGUCAGUAACUUUACUCUGAAUGAUUAGCCUCUUGUAUUAGAUCCUCAUGCCUUGACUGUACCAUCGCCCAAAGUGCACUCGGAGGACAUUCACUCUUUUGAAGUUAACCCAACAUGUUGGAGUGGUAGAUGCACAUUAACCAAAUAGCUUGCUCUAUUCUUUUUCUAUUCUAUCUGUUUUCUUUUUAUUUAUUAUAUUAUUUAAAAGCCCUUGCUAUGUGUACUGUGUUAAGCUAUCUGAGACUUGUUAUAGCUCUUAUAUAUCAUUGCUCUUUUUGUUGUUUUUGAUUGCUUCCACUUUGUCCUCAUUUGUAAGUCGAUUUGAAUAAAAGCGUCUGCUAAAUGAAUAAAUGUAAAUGUAAAUGUUAGUAUAACCUGUGGUAUA